rnacentral:rRNA from 1 species
CGUAGGGCGAAGCGUUAUCCGGAUUUACUGGGUGUAAAGGGAGCGUAGACGGAGCAGCAAGUCUGAUGUGAAAGGCAGGGCGUCAACCCCUGGACUGCAUUGGAAACUGUUGAUCUUGAGUACCGGAGAGGUAAGCCGGAAUUCCUAGUGUAGCGGUGAAAUGCGUAGAUAUUAGGAGGAACACCAGUGGCGAAGGCGGCUUAACUGGACGGUAACUGACGUUGAGGCUCGAAAGCGUGGGGAGCAAACAGGAUU